UCAUCAAAUUAUAAAUUUCGC
rnacentral:piRNA from 1 species